AUGGAGGAGGCCUGCGAGAUCGCGCGCCUGCCGGAGGAGCUCCUCUCGGCGGCGCUGGCCCGCACGUCCCCGCGCGACGCCUGCCGGGCCGCGGCGGUCUCCCCGGCCUUCCGCGCCGCGGCCGACUCCGACGCCGUCUGGGCCCGCUUCCUGCCCCCCGGCGGCCUCCCGCCGUUCGCCGACGGGGAGCUGGCGGCCCCCGCCCCGCCCUCCUCCAAGAAGGAGCUCUUCCUCCGCCUCUCCGCCGGCCCCGCCCUCCUCCCCGACAGGCUCGUCAGCGUGUGGCUGGACAGGGAGACCGGCGCCAAGUGCUACAUGCUGUCCGCCAGGAACCUGUCCAUCGUGUGGGGCGACACGCCGCAGUACUGGACCUGGAUCCCGCUCGAGGACUCCAGGUUCUCCGAAGGUGCUCAACUCAGGCAUGUUUGCUGGUUCGAGAUCCGUGGGAAGAUACACAGCAACCUGCUUUCCCAGGACACAACCUAUGCCGCCUACAUGGUCUUCAAGAAAACUGAUGAUCUCUAUGGGCUGGCAUUUCCGGUCCAGGAGGCAUCGGUCAGCGUUGGAGCAACCAACUUAACCCGCAAGGUUUGCCUCCAACAUAACAAUGAUGAUGACAACGACGACAAUGAUGACGACGACGACUACGAUGACUGCGGGAUGCCCGAGAACUACUGGUCCAUGAGAAGGAAUGGCCUACACAAAGAAAAUGUCGCACUCCCUCAGCAAAGGACCGACGGAUGGAUGGAGCUGGAGCUGGGCGAGUUCUUCAACGAGGGGGGUGACGACGGCGAGGUGUCCUUCAGCCUGACGGAGACCAAAGGUGGGAACUGGAAGAGCGGCCUCAUCGUGCAGGGCAUUGAGAUCAGACGUAAGAAAUCAGGCUGA
rnacentral:rRNA from 1 species